rnacentral:rRNA from 1 species
UACGGAGGGUGCAAGCGUUAUCCGGAUUUACUGGGUUUAAAGGGUGCGCAGGCGGAUAUGUAAGUCAGUGGUGAAAUCUCUAGGCUUAACCUGGAAAUUGCCGUUGAUACUAUAUAUCUUGAAUGCUGUGGAGGUAAGCGGAAUAUGUCAUGUAGCGGUGAAAUGCUUAGAUAUGACAUAGAACACCUAUUGCGAAGGCAGCUUACUACGCAGAUAUUGACGCUCAUGCACGAAAGCGUGGGGAUCAACAGG